rnacentral:lncRNA from 1 species
CUCUCUCUUUUUUCCUGUGGGAUAUUUACUGUCAAACUUUGAAGUCUAGAUUCUUCUUUGGUUUCAAAGGCUAAGCAUAAACUCUUGUAAAAUCCGAGACAAUCGCAAAUAACUCUUGGAUGGGUUUCUAGACACUCAGUGGUCUCGGCUUCAAGCUUGUCAGGUGAUUUUGAAUACAGUGAACUGUUUAAGAGUAGAAAAUUGUUUCUUUUACAUACAAGAAAUAAGAAUCAAGGAUUGCUCAAAACACUCGUUUAAAAUAAAGUUAAAAUUCGAUAAUUAACAGAAAAUAUAACAGACGAUUAUCUUAAUGAGAUUUAAUUGUACUUAACAAUUUCAUAUAUUGGAAGGAAUUAUCUUUCUCAAACCUCGUCUUCAUGAAGCAGCAUAUUGGGAAUCCCUUUGCUUACAGGAAAUUUUCUUCCAGUUUCCGGACAAACUAGAGCACCCUCCACCAGGUGAAGCUCCAGAAGCGCAUGAUGG